GGCUAACAAAACCUAAUUGCAUUAGGUUACGUGCUUCACAUAUGUAUAUAUACGAAAGUAUGUUAUGAUAUGUGGGUGGUUUUUUUUUACUUCUGGCCGAAACCUAUUCAUAAAGGCGAAGUGUUCGUCAAGUUUUGAGAUUUGAUCUCAACGGUACUAGCAUCCCGUCUUGAUCCAGUUUGUGUGCGUGUGGAUACCAGUAGAGACACGAUGUUUGGAGUGCUAGAAAUCUCGAUUUGGUUUAUUCAUCAUUCCGCUGCGAAUAACCAGGUAUAUUUGAAACCUUAAAAUCUAGAUUUAUUUAGUAUUGACAUGAGAUUCUAGGUAUAUAAAUUCAUAGGUUGAUUUAUAAAUAGUUAUAAUUCCAACACAAACUUCUGCUUUGGUGGAGAGAUUGAGGUUGCUAUGGUUAAGCAGUCUCACCGGUUUGCGGUAGAACGCUGUUCCAGUGACGUUUAAGUUUCUAUCAGUGAGUCUCAGUAGUCCAUCUGGUGUGAUGAUCGCUGCUCCUUCUGUUUGAAUCUCCGAUUUGUUUUUACUAAAACCUUCGAAAGUGAAAUCUGUUGUUGGUGGUGUCUUCGUACUCUGAGCUUGAAGAGAGAAGCUCAAAAGCUGGAUGAGUAAGAACAAAAAUGAGACCAUAAAUCUAGACAUAGGAAAUCAAGAACAGAGAGAACGGGUUAGAAGGAAGAAGAUAAUUGGAUAUUACAGGGGACUAGGGGAGUUUGGUUUAUCCUUGGUGAUUCGAUGAUCAAGCAAGUCAUAAGAGCGAGAAGGAAUUUUCAAAGUUCUGAACAAGAAAAGUCUUUUCUUUCUUUUCAACGGUUUGUUCACAAUCACACACCCACACACACAUAUCAACGAAUUUAUUACAUUCCAAUCCGACAAGACGCUUUCAACACACGUGAAGCAGCUUCUCUUGUAUACUAAAAUGAGAAUUCGGCCAAAAAAAACCUCAACUUUGCACGAAUUGCCAAAAAAAACAUAAACUUUUGUACUCACCAAAAAAACACCAAAUUUUCAUUUACUUUAGAAUUAAUUAACAGAAAUAUUUGACGUCGUUUAUUGUUGGCAUUAAGUGAAACGACGUCGUUUUACAUGAUUUGAAAUUAAAAAUAUGUUGACCCCUGGAUUCGAACCAAGGUUGGUUUGUCAAAUGGCAAGGUAUUUUACAACUGGGCUACUGGCACUUUCAAUGUACUUACUAACAUGUUUAUUUUUAUUUGAUACAUAUUAAAUAUAAAAAAUUCUCUAAAAACUUAAUAAGAUCUUUAAAAUUCCAAAAAAAAUUUAAUUUUUAUAAAAAAAAAUUUUAUUUUAAAAUUUCUUAUUAAAAAUUUCUUAUUAAAAAUUUCUUUAUUUUUAUAAAAAAUUUCUUUAUUUUAAAAUUUUAUUUUUAAUUUUAAUUUCUAAAUUAAUUUUAUAAAAAUAUUAUUUAUUUUUUUAUUUUUUUUGGAAUUUUAAAGAUCUUAUUAAGUUUUUAGAGAAUUUUUUUAUAUUUAAUAUGUUCCAAAUAAAAGUAAACAUGUUAGCAAGUACAUUGAAAGUGCCAGUAGCCCAGUGGUAAAAUACCUUGUCAUUUGAUCAACCAACCUGGGUUCGAAUCCAGGGUUCGUUUCACUUAACGCAAACAAUAAACGACGUCAAAUAUUUCUAUUAAAUUUGUUGACGGCGUGCUAAAUUGGCAAGUCAGCGAAAACAUUGUUAAUUAAUUCUAAAGUCAAUGAAAGUUUGGUGUUUUUUUGGUCAGCCCAAAAAUUUAUGUUUCUUUUGGUAAUUCGUGCAAAGUUGAGGUUUUUUUUUGCCGAAUUGUCAUACUAAAAUACAUUGUUCUCUAUUUGUUAUGCAAAUAACAUAAAUAACUUUUUAUUACAUAAAUGACUUUCACGGCAAGAAGAUUCCAGUUUUCAUUUUGUAGAGCAUGCCAAUACUUCAGAAGCGCUUGAACCCUCCCCAGAAUCCCAAAAAGAUUGAGAAAGCCGUGCUGCUGGAAUUUGUUGCAAGACAGGCAUAGGAGGCACUUCAAGAGCUUCAAGGCUUCCUUCCAUCAUCUCUACUACUAUGUUCAUCGGAGGGCGGUUUGAUGGGGAAGACUGUAUACACCACAAACCCACAAUUUUCAUCUUCUUUGCUAUCUCCUCUUCUUCGCUUCUGAUUCCAUACUCGGUAGGACUUCCAUUGUCUCCUUGCUCGAGAUUCUGGUAUAUCCAUUCGGGAAAAUACAUUGAGCUUGCAUUCGAUGCAGAGACUUGAUCAACUAUUUCUUUCUUCCUUGCGCCUAUCAUUUCGAGUAGUAGCAUCCCAUAGCUAUACACAUCUGACUUGUGAGACACACUCCCAUACACUGGGGAGAACAUCUCUGGCGCAAUGUACCCUAUUGUCCCUCUCAUAUCUAGCAGCGAUAUUAUGCUCUCUUUUUUCUCACAGAGUUUAGCAAGUCCAAAAUCAGAAACUUUGGGGAGAAGAUUUUCAUCUAACAGCACGUUCUGAGGUUUAAUGUCGAAAUGCACGAUCCUUGUUUUGCAGCCAAAGUGCAAAUACUCUAACCCCCGAGCAACUCCUAGUGCAAUAUCAUACAGUGCCGUGAAGUCCAAAUUCAUUAUGGUGGUGUCUGAGAUGAACUUAUCAAGCGAGCCGUUCUCUAGAAAUUCAUAUAUGAUUGCUCUUUUUGAACCUUCGGAGCAGAAUCCAAGUAAGGAAACAAUGUUGACAUGAGAUGUUUGGCUCAUGCUGGCAACUUCAUUGAUGAAGUCUUUGCCAUUAUUGUCCUUUGAAUCUUUCAAGACCUUCACCGCAACCAUACGGCCGUCACAAAGGGUUCCUCUAUAAACAACUCCAAAUCCUCCUCUCCCAACCACUUCUGCAAAUGACUUUGUAAUUUUCUUCACUUGCGCAUAAGUAUAGUGUUUGAGUGGAAUAAGAGCCUUUAACUUCUUUUGUCUCCUAUCAUCUGAUGUUUUUCUCUUGCGAAAAAUUUGGACCCCGAAACAGGGGCAUAAUAAUACCACCAGCGCAAUAAUACCUGUUAGUGAACACAAACCUAAAAUAACAUAGAAAACGUUUGGUUAGUAACUUUUUCAUAAUGUAGGAAGAUCAAAAACAGUUAUAAAUAUCUAUCUGGGAAGCGAACUAACCUACGAGAAUAAUGAUCACAAUAACUGCAGAACCAUAAAAUAAAAUUUGUCAGCAUAGAACAAGACUUUUGAAAUGAAAAGAGCAAUUGGAGAAAAACAAUGGUUUAGAGGGAGGAUAAAAAAAGUCAUUCGAUGAAAGUUAUGCACCUAUGCCCUCUAUAAGAUCAGCUCCUGCAUAAAUUAAAUGGCAUGCAAAAGAAAGUCAGUUUGAGCUGGAGAUAGAGCUCUGAACACAAACGAAAAAACAAAAACUUGAAACUAAAGGAAGGUUUGCAAAUGAUCUGAUCAAAAGGUGGGUGGGCGAUUGUGGAAGAGAAAAAGAGGUGGUUCUUGGUGAAGGACAUUAGGAAACAAGACCAUGGAUGAAAGAAAACUUACGGUUGUGUGUCGGGCAUGAACUAUUAUGCGGCCCAUCUUUGCAAUAACAGACGAAAGCGCUUGAGGUCUGAUUAUAUCCGCAAGCACCCUCAGAGACCAUGCACCUCUCACAAUCCGAGUUAACAUAGAGAUCGAAACCUUGUUCAAUAGCCUUCUUUAGAUUAUAUGUAUUCGGACUCCUCUGCAGCGUCUCCAAUGCAGAUCCAGAUGCAGGAAUACUGACAUUUCUUUUACACAUUUCCCUGAAAUUGUUUAAAAGACCUCUAAUCUCUUCAAGUAAAGGCGACGUGAGGUUUUUUGUCACAUAGUAAUUUCUUCUGUUAUUCCCAGAAACAAGCUCUCCAACAUAAAAACUAUGGGGGAUAAGUGGUGAGAAGUUUGGGCAGUCAUAAUAAAUUGUUACAAGCUCGGUGUUAUAGGGGAAGGAAACAACGUUUUCAUUGAACUGUGCAUUCAGUGGGUUUCUGGGAUAAAGAUUAUCAAUAUAAUCUGUUCUUAUGAGUGUCGUCUCAUAAUACCCACUAUCUAUGAUUCUGAACUUCACAGUGGAAAUGUUGAGCUCUGCAAAAUCUCCGCUACAGUUGAGCUCGAACUCUGGGUGGCCACAUGCUUUUCUACCAGGUUUCCAGAAAGGAUAACUGAGACGUACCUGAUCGCAACAGCUAAACGUCUUACUGCAGAGUCUGUAAAGCUCACCAGCUGAUAAAAAAUAAGAUGGGUUCAAAAACAGCAUCAAUAUGGAUUUUAUUUACGCCAAAAAUUUGGUUAUGAGACUGAGAUUGGUUGAUUAUUAGUUCCUUAUGUUAUCCUUUUUUUUUGUUUUUCUUCGUGGUCAGGAAAAUGAUUACGGAUUAGGUAAGCAUUUGCCUGAGAAAAUUGAUGCUAACUUACCACUUGAUACACCAGGAAGAUGGCUGAAAGAGGAGAAGAUGGCAAAUAAUAUCAAACAAAAACUAAAGGG
rnacentral:lncRNA from 1 species